rnacentral:rRNA from 1 species
GAUGAACGCUGGCGGCAGGCCUAACACAUGCAAGUCGAACGCCCUAGCAAUAGGGAGUGGCAGACGGGUGAGUAACACGUGGGAACCUUCCCUAUAGUACGGAAUAGCCCAGGGAAACUUGGAGUAAUACCGUAUACGCCCGAGAGGGGAAAGAUUUAUCGCUAUAGGAUGGGCCCGUGUCGGAUUAGCUAGUUGGUGAGGUGAUGGCUCACCAAGGCAACGAUCCGUAGCUGGUUUGAGAGAAUGACCAGCCACACUGGGACUGAGACACGGCCCAGACUCCUACGGGAGGCAGCAGUGGGGAAUCUUAGACAAUGGGCGCAAGCCUGAUCCAGCCAUGCCGCGUGGAUGAUGAAGGCCUUAGGGUUGUAAAAUCCUUUCGCCGAGGACGAUAAUGACGGUACUCGGAGAAGAAGCUCCGGCUAACUUCGUGCCAGCCGCCGCGGUAA